CUGACAGCCCUGGAGAGUGAAGGCCUCUCUCUGUCCGCAAAGGCACUGCAGGGCCAGCUUCCCUCACAACCUGCCUCAGCCCUGCUCUGUAGCAGUAAGAGGAAUUCAGUCUCCAUGGCCCAUCCAGUCCUUUGCCUUG
rnacentral:sRNA from 1 species